UACGAAGGGGGCUAGCGUUGUUCGGAUUUACUGGGCGUAAAGCGCACGUAGGCGGAUCGAUCAGUCAGGGGUGAAAUCCCAGGGCUCAACCCUGGAACUGCCUUUGAUACUGUCGAUCUGGAGUAUGGAAGAGGUGAGUGGAAUUCCGAGUGUAGAGGUGAAAUUCGUAGAUAUUCGGAGGAACACCAGUGGCGAAGGCGGCUCACUGGCCCGGUACUGACGCUGAGGUGCGAAAGCGUGGGGAGCAAACAGGG
rnacentral:rRNA from 1 species